rnacentral:rRNA from 1 species
GAUGAACGCUGGCGGCGUGCCUAAUACAUGCAAGUCGAGCGAACAGACGAGGAGCUUGCUCCUCUGACGUUAGCGGCGGACGGGUGAGUAACACGUGGAUAACCUACCUAUAAGACUGGGAUAACUUCGGGAAACCGGAGCUAAUACCGGAUAAUAUAUUGAACCGCAUGGUUCAAUAGUGAAAGACGGUUUUGCUGUCACUUAUAGAUGGAUCCGCGCCGCAUUAGCUAGUUGGUAAGGUAACGGCUUACCAAGGCGACGAUGCGUAGCCGACCGGAGAGGGUGAUCGGCCACACGGGAAGUGAGACGCGGUCCAGACUCCUAAGGGAGGCAGCAGUAGGGAAUCUGCCGCAAUGGGCGAAAGCCUGACGGAGCAACGCCGCGUGAGUGAUGAAGGCCUUCGGAUCGUAAUACCCGGUUAUGAGGGAAGAACAAAUGUGUAAGUAACUAUGCACGUCUUGACGGUACCUAAUCAGAAAGCCACGGCUAACUACGUG